ensembl:antisense Gm26703 predicted gene, 26703
GAGACACUGCAGAGAGGCUUCACACUCUUGUUUAUUCCUAGGGCGACUGCAAAGCCAGGGUGAAAGGACAGAAGGAUCACUGCAGCAGAUGCGUUUUUAUAUUGCUCGAUUGGAAGCUGUCCUCAUGACCGCAGUCUGAACGUUAACAGAGAACCGUUCCGGCUGCUUUAACCGUCCUACUCGUAAGCAGCUCUGGAAAAUGAAGUUGCUGCUCUUUAGAGCAUGCUGAUUUAGAGAAGCUGUGAUUCAUAGCCUGCUCUUGCCCAGCCCAGUCAGUCAUCCUCUGUAAGCCUAUGAUGGCACCGGGCUGUACAAGAAGAGGUCUUCCUGUGUGCUUAUUUCUGACUUUGCACUGUGGCAUUCAUCUAUCAAGACGACAGCAACGUUCGCUUUCUCCCGGGUCUCUAACUGUAAUAGCAAGGUGGUACUCUCCUUGCCUCCCGCCUGUGUUAGCCAACUGAGCAGGCAUUUCGCUGAGGAAGAGAUACUGCCCCCCCCACCCCCUUCUCCAGGCUCUCUGAGUGUGUGACAAAGUCAACAGGCAACCAGACUGAUAAAAGCAAAAGCCAAGUGAAGCAAAUAAAAACCCUGAGCUAUACAAGUUUGCAGACGUGCCUCAGCCGGUUCGCUCUACGGACCCCAGAACAUUUGUCGCACUGAUUUUCAGAAUGAGAAAGCGUUGGAGUGACCUAAGAGGACUAUGAAGACCUUGCCUAUUGGGAGCCUGGGCACAGCCACUGUUAGAGUGUAGCACUGUUCCUUGAGAGGAGUAGAGGUAUCAUAUCAGGUAGGAGGUAAGCAGGCGUGAAGGAAGGAUGCUGGGAAAACCAUGUCCACAGCAAUGGGGCUGCUUGCCCUCUAGGACAUUCACACUACUCUGCUAGGACUCCCAUUGUUAUCAUUCUGUCUAGGCUCCGUCCCACAGUUACCUGGCAACAGACUCACUAUAAAACAAUAGACUCACUAUAAAACAAUAGACUCACUAUAAAACAAUAGACUCACUAUAAAACAAUAGACUCACUAUAAAAGGGGCUGCUUGCCCCCUCCUUACUCUCUUGCUUUCUCUUGCUCUUCCCUUACCCUCUCUCCCCAUUCCCUUCCCCCCUCUCUUUCCCCAUGCUCAUGGCCAGACUCGUCUCUACUCCUGUACUUGUCUUCUCGCUCUCUCUCUCUCUCUCUCUCUCUCUCUCUCUCUCCUACUCUCUUAACUCCCCUUCCCAUGCCCUUAAUAAACUCUAUUCUACAGUCUACCGUCAUGUGACUGGUCCCUUGGGGGAAGGGAUGUCUCAGGAUGGGCCUGCUUGACCACACCUCCAUAAAACAUAUCUGCCCCUCUCUUUAUCUUUUUAUAAACACAUCGCCCAUAAUAAAAUACCACAAACUGUGUGGUUUAAACUACAAGUCUGGAGGCUGGACGUCCAAAUCCAAGGUGUUGCCAUGCUCCCUUUCUCUGGCUUCUCUUCUUAGCUUUCAGGGCUACAACCUCACAGCCUCAGUCCUUAUUUGUUACCUCUUCAAAGUUGUGUCUCUAAACACAGCGACAUUAGAGGUUAAAAUGUCAACAUAGAAACCUGGUGCGAGAAAUGACUUUCCCCUGUAAUACUGCACUGUGGCUUUGAUAUUCUCCUUGAUACACAUUCUCUGUGGGUCUUUGAGACUAUGCUCUGGUCUUAACUCUGGCCCAGCUCCUGACCUGUGCCUGCACCCACCACUGGAAGAUCCUGCACUGAACCAUUUGUUUGUCUCUGCUUGGUCUUCAGCCUCCUGGGUUAGCUUCUAACUGUGCACAGUGGGAGUUUACCAAGGCCUCUCUCUCAGCCAGCCCCAUCCAUGGGAACGUUCAUACUCUCUCUCUGUCAGGUCUGAAUUGAAGCCUUGACACAGAGGGGCUGGUUAACAGUAAGGGGAUGGCCAGAUGUAUGCUGAGUUUUGCUGAGUAUGGUGCGGAUAUUGCAAUUAACCACUGUUUUUCUAAGAAUCAUCCCUAAAAGCAAUAAACAAAUAGACAAAUAAAUAAUAAAAAUAAGGGGCUAGAGAGAUGGCUCAGCAGUUACCAGCACUGGCUGCUCUUCCAGAGGACCCAGGUUCAAUUCUCAGCAACCACAUGAAAGCUCUCAACUGUCUGUGACCCUAGUUCCAGGGGACUGUAGGCAGAACACCAAAGCCCAUAAAAUAAAAAUAAAUAGGUAAAUCGUAUUUUUAAAGAGUAUAUUAAUAAAAAUAGAGAAAGACUGGCUAGGAUUAGAAACUUUUUAUCUGUCAGACUGAGCAGCUAGACCUUCAUUAAUUAGGUAAAGAGACAUAGAAAAUUCAGAAGUAUAAGAGGUGCCCUGGUGUGACAAACAGCUCUCCAAUGAGAGGGACUUACAGAGGCAUGGGAUUUUAUUGCUGUUUUUUUUUUUUUUUUAAUUUGAAAUUUUUAAAAAAUGUUUUUUAAAGAUUUAUUUAUUUACUUUAUAUAUGUGAGUACACUGUAGCUGUCUUCAGACACAUCAGAAGAGGGCAUCAGAUCCCAUUACAGAUGGUUGUGAACUACCAUGUGGUUGCUGGGAAUUGAACUCAGGACCUCUGGAAGAGCAGGCAGUGCUCUUAACCAUUGAGCCAUCUUUCCAGCCCCACUGUUUUUUGUUUUUGUUUUUUAACUUGUGCUUCCUGUGUACUGCGGACCUGCUGCACUUGCACUGCGGACCUGCUGCACGGAGGACCGGCUGCACUGCAGACCCAAAGCACCGAGGAUCCGCUGCACUGCGGACCUGCUGUACUGAGGACCUGCUGCACUGAGGACCGGCUGCACUGAGGACCGACUGCACUGCAUACCCAAUGCACCAAGGACCCGCCGCACUGCGGACCCACUGCACUGCGGACCUGCUGCACUGCAGACCCGCUGCACUGCGGACCCGAUGCACUGAUGGUCCUUACGCUGGCGACCAGGAUGAUGGUCUUCCCCUUUGGGGAAGAAAAUAAAUGGCAAACAGUUCUUAGAGC